GCAGAAGGGAAUUUCACCACGGUCAAAGUAAUAUUCACCUUUGGUAGUUAAUCCUGGGAGGUGGAAAUAAGCUUUUCAUAACUGGCAUAUAACAAAGAUAUGAUGAUCCAAAUCGGUGACACUGAACAAAAGAGUAUUUUUCCAAUAAAAUGGAAAUGUGCUAAAAACACUAAAUAUCAUGUAUGAAAUGUACAGAUUAUAUUCAUCUCAAAUUAUGUUAUUUUGAAAUUUACGUAAAAAGAGUAAACACUAAUUAGCAGUGUUAUAGACUCUCUAGAAAUGGGUUAGUUUUCUCAAUGAGAAUUAAAAUCUCCAAUAGAAUAACAGCCCUCACAAGACAAAUCUUAGUGAGUUUCAAUUCAAAUCACCUAACACCAUAUUGGAGAUACAAAAAUAAAUGAGGAGUUUGGAAAGUGAUUAUAAGAAUGACUAUGCUAGCCAUACUAAAUGAUAAUUCUGCACAUGUAUGUGCAUAUUGUGGUAUACACACACAUCGCGCGCGCGUGUGUGUGUGUGUGUGUGUGUGUGUGUGUGUGCAUGUGAAUAUCAAGGUGCAUGUGUACAGGUCUGAGAUUAACCUGAGCAAUCUAUGGGUUAUAGUUGGUCCUAAGGAACUCAGGUCAUGAGACGUUAAGUAACGUGUCCCUAUCUAUUUCACCUAAUUAUGCUAUUUCUUUUAUAAUCAUUUUUCCUAUGUAUAAUAUAACUUCAAUUUGUAUAUCAUUUUAUUAUCUUCAUAAAUUAAAGUACCUGACAAUAAUGAAUAUUAAGCAGUUAGUCCAAGUUCACAGAAAUUGAAUAAAUCGCCAACUCUUUUCAAUUCAGGAAUCUGAGCUUUAUAGCUUUCAUAGCUAAUUUCUAUUUUAAACUAUUCAAAAAUGGGUUUUCUAAUGUAAAAAUUUACAAAUUUACAAAUUAUGAGACCCUUGGGGUUAAAAAUAAAGUGAGUUUGGAUCCCGAGGAGGACUUAAUUAGUGAACUUCAGUUGAUAUAUGAAUAAAAAUGUCUCCAAAUGAAAUGUCAAGGAAGAAAAUAACACAGAAUAAAAGAAUUUCAGAAGUUGUUACUAUAUAUGAGAAAGAGCAUGUGUAUGUGUAUACAUAUAAUAUAACAAAGCAGAAAAAAGAAGCACUUGAAAUAAUAGCAUCCGAUAACUUCCCAAAAUUAAUUAUUGUCAUUAUAUCCUACUAUAAUUUUUAAAGACGAAGAUUGUUCAAAAUUUUAGAUUACAUAGCAUAUUUGAAGCCUAGAAAAAUAAGGAUUGAUGUAACAAAGG
rnacentral:lncRNA from 1 species